AUUUGAUAUUUUUAACUCUAAAAAUAAAGAAUAUGAAGAUAAAGAAGAUAUGGAAAUUGAAUAUUACAAUAAUAAGUCUUGGAGAAAAUAUGAACGAUGUAAACAGUAUGCCAAUCAAUUUAUGUUAUCAGAAUGGAUGUUCGAAGCACCUCAAGAUAUUCUGGAAAAAUGGAUGGUAGUUCCUUGUCCUGAAGGCAAAAGAACUUUACUAAUUGCUCACAAAAAUAAAACAAAAGCUUUUAACAAACGUGGUAUCAGAUUGGGAAAAUUUCAAUCUGCGCUGCCAGGAGGAAGUUCCAAUGAACAUAGUAGUCGUUGCACUAUUUUGGAUUGCAUAUGGAUAGAAAGUCGAAAAACAUAUUAUGUUUUGGAUGUACUGGCUUGGUCUAAUCAGUCCCUUAUAAAUUGUGAUACAGAGUUUCGAUUUUUUUGGUUAAUAUCAAAAUUUCAAGAAAUACAAGAAUUACAAAGAGGUGAUACCUAUAACAAUAGAUAUCCUAUUUUAUUACUUCCACAUAUAAAUUUUGAUUGCAAUCUAGAAUCAUCGUUAGGAAAUUUAAAUGAAUUAACACCAUUAGAUGGAUUAUUAUUUUAUCAUCGUGAUGGAUUAUACACUAAAGGUCGUACACCUCUUGUAACAUGGUUGAAACUUUUUAUGUUACCUGAAAUACUUGGAAUAUCUUUACCUCCAUUUGACGAGAAACCUGAUGGUUAUGUAGAUAUCAGACAAUAUUUAUUGAAUCUCAAAGAAAAGAAAAAUAAUUCAAAAUCACAGAUAACUAGUAUGGAUAUUGUAGACGAGGAAGUUGAAAUGACAUAAGUUUUACCUUAAACAUAAUAGAUGACUGAAAAGAUAAACAAUAUGAAUGUAAAUGAUUUCUCCAUCAUAUAUGAUAAAAUACGCUUUUGACAAUAUGGGUCCAUUAUCUUCAUCUACAAAAUGGUAAUAAAUUAUUAAUAAUUU
rnacentral:misc_RNA from 1 species